ACUGAGCCACAUUUGCUAAAAUUGAACCCUUUCACCGACGGUCGCUGUUCAGUUUGAAAAUAACUGUUCCAGCAACAUUUUGGGGGAAGGACACUC